GCAACCAACAAAGAGAAAAUACAAUGAGUCGCUUUAUUGGCUGCCCUGAAUGACCUCCUGCUUAACAUUAAAUAUAUUCUUAAGAACUGAAUACAAUUUAUUCAUCCGCGCGACCCAGAGCCAGAAUGAAAUGGCUUUUGGGAGUCCUACACCUGGAAAUAUUCUGUCUUUCUGCAAGGAAGGGAAUUAGAAAUUACACAAGAUGACCUGGAAAUCAUCAAGAUUGACCAUUUUGGAACAAGGCUCUCAGAUGCUGCUCAAAUGGUUUCAAAGUUGCGAUCCAGCGAAACGUACACCUCAAACAUUAAAAGAAGCUCUUUUAGAAACCGAAUGUUUCACGGCGCUUGAAUGUUUAUUAUCAGACUUCAGUUGAAUUUCUUGUAAAUAUUGCUGUUGUUUAAUCCCAAGUCUACCUUCACCACACACAUACCUAUGAUUAAAUGCCUUCCAUCCAGGACCAUCAUGUUUUCCUUGUCUAAUGUGUCAUUCUUUAAGAUGAUAAGUGAUGAAUAGAGUAGGAUUCGGCUACUAAUUCUAGCAGAUAUAUUUACCACAUGGAGAUCCCUUUAUUUGUUUAGCUCCCUUUUUGUUGGAGAUUAACUUUGGAAAUAAAGAUUGAAAUUUCA